rnacentral:lncRNA from 10 species
GUGAGUGGGGGCCAGUGUAUGAGUAUAUAUCUGGAAUGAAGAGACCAUAAAUGGAAGAAUGCAUUCAUCUAUAAUUGUGUGGAGACUUGAGGAAUGAUGAAGCUUCGAGGUGGGAGCAGUCACAGGUGUCUCUCGGGGGGCUGUCAUCCAGGUGCGCCAGCAACUUUCCUGGCUAGGAGAACUCCCUUUGUCCCUCAAGAAAGCCCUGGCCUCUGGACUCAGGACAAGGGUCCACCUGCCUAAGACCCAGCGGAGCUUCUCAGGUUCCUGUCUCCUGUCUCCUCCCUCUUCCCCUCUCUCCUAUCUGCAGUUUCUGCUCGGGGAAAUACAAUAACCUAAUAUUUAAAUAAAAUUCUCUCAGAUGCCAA